rnacentral:rRNA from 1 species
CGCCUUGCCAGCCCGCUCAGAACUUAAAGGAAUUGACGGGGCCCGCACAAGCGGUGGAAUAUGUGGUUUAAUUCGAUGCAACGCGAAGAACCUUACCUGGUCUUGACAUCCCGGAGACCCUUAGGAAACUAGGGGGUGCUUCCAUCUGGAAGAAUCUGGAGACAGGUGCUGCAUGGCUGUCGUCAGCUCGUGUCGUGAGAUGUUGGGUUAAGUCCCGCAACGAGCGCAACCCUUGCCUUUAGUUGCCAGCAGUUCGGCUGGGCACUCUAAAGGGACUGCCGGUGUUAAACCGGAGGAAGGUGGGGAUGACGUCAAGUCCUCAUGGCCUUUAUGACCAGGGCUACACACGUACUACAAUGGCCGAUACAAAGGGCAGCGACACUGCGAGGUGAAGCCAAUCCCGUAAAAUCGGUCUCAGUCCGGAUUGGAGUCUGCAACUCGACUCCAUGAAGUUGGAAUCGCUAGUAAUCGUGGAUCAGCAUGCCACGGUGAAUACGUUCCCGGGCCUU